rnacentral:rRNA from 1 species
AUUGAACGCUGGCGGCAGGCCUAACACAUGCAAGUCGAGCGAGCGGCGGACGGGUGAGUAAUGUCUGGGAAACUGCCUGAUGGAGGGGGAUAACUCCUGGAAACGGUAGCUAAUCCCGCAUACCAUCGGAUGUGCCCAGGUGGGAUUAGCUAGUGGGUGGGGUAACGGCUCACCUAGGCGACGAUCCCUCGCUGGUCUGAGAGGAUGACCAGCCACACUGGAACUGAGACACGGUCCAGACUCCUACGGGAGGCAGCAGUGGGGAAUAUUGCACAAGGGGCGCAAGCCUGAUACAGCCAUGCCGCGUGUGUGAAGAAGGCCUUCGGGUUGUAAAGCACUUUCAGUGGGGAGGCGUUACCAGCAGAAGAAGCACCGGCUAACUCCGUGCCAGCAGCCGCGGUAAUUC